GGGGCUGAUUCUGGAUUCGACGGGAUUUGCGAAACCCAAGGUGCAUGCCGAGGGGCGGUUUGCCUCGUAAAAAGCCGCAAAAAAUAGUCGCAAACGACGAAAACUACGCUUUAGCAGCUUAAUAACCUGCUCUGAGCCCUCUCUCCCUAGCUUCCGCUCUUAAGACGGGGAUCAAAG
rnacentral:tmRNA from 1 species